GAGAGAGAAUAUGAAUAUCUCAGUGUUCAAUAUUGAAAGACAGGUUCUUCCGGAGUUAAGAGCAGAAAGCCUCAGCUUAGGAGUUACUACCGGGAGAGAGGAAACCCUGACUCAGGAAUCCCCUUUGGGUAAUGACCUGUGGUGAGAAAAUUCAGGUCCUGACUUGGCAGAACAGGCUUGCUGGUGAGUUCUGUCAACAGAUUCCACAUCUACCCAUCCUCUUGCCAAUCUCUCCUCAGCCUCAUAACCUGCUUCAUCUCCUGAGAGCUUGGAAACUUCUGGAGGAAGGGGGGAGCUGAAAUCUCAUUUGGUUCAAUGGCAACCAUGCUUUGCCAUCAAAAGUGCAUGUGUUGCUUUUGUGAGCCUUCAGGUGCUGACAGCUACAGUGGUAUUGUAUCUGCCAGCCUUCGAGACAUUGUUUCUGGACUGCACAGCCAAGCAGUUCUGACCUCCAGCAAAAGCCAGCCACACAUACUGCAGCAGGCUGCCUGCUGGGCUCCACAUGUUUAUACAGAACUGCUAACCCUCAAGAACUGCAACUGAAAGAGAAAUGAGAAAGGAAUGAAUAUGCUGUUGUUUUUAUUUUCUGCUCAAACCAGCUCUUUGAGGAAAAAAAUAAAACAAGAAAAGGAAAGGAAAAAGGAAAAAAAAAAUAAAAGCAUCACUCUCCAAGCUGGAGCCCUGCCAAGCUUCCUCCCCUCCCUUGCUUGUCCAAGCACUCCACCGUCUGUGCAGACUGUAUAACAGCAAGUUCUGGAAAUAGGCUAAGGACUCUGGGCCAGUCUAGGGGCUGUGCUGUCUGGGUAUCUGUGUCUGCUGGGGCUUUUGAGACUUGGUUUUUCACCUUUAUCUUUUAUCAACUGCCAACCCUUGGAAGCAUAUCUGUUACCAUCAGCUUCUGUUUGUAAAAUGGGACUAAAGGUUAACCUCUCCAGAGAAAUCCACAUAUCUUCACUGUAGUUCAGGGCUUCCACUAACAGCUUGGCUCACAAAACAUGACUAUGGUAAAUUAAAGAAUGUUAAUAAAAAUGAGAUAAAA